rnacentral:lncRNA from 1 species
CUCCUGCAAAUCAGUGACUGAGCAGCCCAGGAAUGAUCACACUGCAGCUCUGACAACACAGGUCCAGCUCAUUUUCUUCAUGGGAUUUUCAGUUUUCACCUCACGGCUGCAUCCUGCAAACCUCUGCUGAAGCAGUGGGGAGAUGCAGAGCCUCAGGGGGGUCCCUGUGUGCUGGGCUGAGCCUGUGGAGUUUGGGGGGUGAUGGUGAAACUCCUGAGGCCAAAGCCUGCUGCAGAUGGCUCCUGUGGAGAAAUCUGGAGCAGGUGGAGAGCAUGAGGAGGGAAAGCAGGACAUGUCUCCAGUGCCUGCCUGCACAGCUCAGAGUGAGCUGUGAACCAAGAGUCACCUUCUGAGCCUUGGAGGGCACCCACACAGAGCACUGAUGGCAGGAAGCUCCAGCUGGACUCUGUACUGGGAUCAGAGCACAGAGUGGGACAUGGCAGUGCAGCAGGGACCUGCCAUUUGAUUUUUUGACAUUUUCCUUGUAUCAGACUACCUGCAGGAAUGCAGCUGCCCUGUAUUUUCAAAGCUGAAGCCAUACAAAGAAAUAAAAGCUUGGGUCACCAGGGGAUUUGAACCAGCCACUGCAAUGCCGAAUUGGUGCUGCAAUUUCACCACUGCACAUCUCCUGGCAGUUUGCUUGUAUGACUUUAAAACUGUGACUCCAGGAGUGGGAUGGAAGGGGAGUAGAGCCCACGGUGACACCACAGCCCUGCCAAAGCCCAGGCUCACAUUCAUGGCUGGAUCCUCCCUCAGCUCCAGCAGCCUGCACCCAAUGCCUCUGCUCCUCAUCAGGCCAAAAGGAGGAAUUAAAAAAUAAAAAGUCUGAUUCAUAAAUACUUGCUCUGCAACUUGAUGGGAUGCAUUUCUUCACAGUGCAAAAACCUUCCAGCCACCUACUCUGGAAAAAAGUAAAAUUGAAUAAAACAGUGGGUGUGCAAAAAGAAAAUGCCCUCGUUUUGUCCUCUCCUCUGGAAGGCAUGAUCACACAUUCAGGCUCAGACAAGUAAUUAAAAAAGCCCAUUUGGCCACCAAACUGACCAGCUGGCACAUUGGUUUUGUGGUUGCAGUUACACCUUCUGCCAUUUUAUCAGUUUAUUUGGAAUUUCCAGGAACAUCCUUCUGUCAGUUGUAGCCUUUUGUUGCUUCCCCUACAGAGACAACUGUUCUGUCCCUGUCUCCUCAACUGGAGGAAAAAUCCUUACCCAAAGCUUCUGCUUGAGCAGGGCUCUGGCUGUUUGAUAUAAAACAUGAAAGUUUCAAAAGCUACAAAAAUCAAAUCAAAAGAACAAAACAAAUGGCUCAUGCCAACUGUGGCUGCAAGUGAUACAUAAAUAAACCACUUUUGUCCCAGGCAAGGCUUCCAGAUGAGGAGAACAUGCACACACACAUCAGAGUACCACUGAUGGAGUGGACUGAAAUAAAGAUUCGCCUGCCAUGAGCCAUUUCAGGAGGUUUAUGAAAGAGAAACUGUAAUAAACUUGUUCAGGCUGGGCAGCAGCAACAUUGACAAGGAGGCAACAGAGGUGUAAGCAUAAAAAAAACAAAGUUAUGUUUGACAUGCAGCUAAGCUGUGACAGUUAUACCUGGAACUGGAAAAAAAGUAAAAAAAAAUUCAUGUUUUAGUCAGGCUGUGACCUGCUGCCCAUGGUACCACGAGCAGCAUCGCAAACUGAGAGCUCUGGUGCCUUUGGCACUUCCAAAGGGUCUGUGACAGCAGGGACACCUGGGAAUGGCUCAGCCUGGAGUAGCACUCGGGCCUGAGCAGCUCUGGGUCCUGCUGCAGAGGCUCAGAGACCACAAGCUUCAAACCAUGCUCUCAGGAGAGGCAAGGGGGAAAAAAGAAAUCCCAACUCUUGCAGAACAGAGUCAGAGAAGACUGGAAAAAUAUUCUGUUCAUCAUCUGAAAGAUCCUAGUCAUAGAAAUACAGAUUCAAGCUGUAAAUAGAGCUACUUCUACUCAGGUCUUUAAAAUAUGCUACUUGCAAGGAGAUUAAUUUUCUUUCCUUUUUAAACUGUUGAUAUUACUAUCUGCUCAAAAACCUCUGUGAGGAGUAAAAGAAGAGGAGUGUUAUUUAGGGUAACUGGCACCUUUGGUUAGUUGCUGAACAAAUGAACCAGUUUUGAAAAGAAAAGGUUUUUUUAGGUAAGUAAUAGGAUCUACAGGGUUCACAGCAAGAACUCCAUGCUGGACAAGCAGACCAGAGAGAACAUCAUGAUUUGAGUUUUCAAGCGAGCUGAUUGUUUUCGUGCUGAGGGUACAUUCACAACCCGUCCCCACGAUAAAAUGGGUACCUGUGAUACCUCUGAUGUUAAAAGUCACAAUUCUUCUCUAGAAGUUAUGGCUUGUGUCAUGCAAAGUGAUUUGUUGGGUCAAAACUGACACAUAACUCAAUCUCCUGUUCCAGUCCUUCAUGCUGACAAAGAGUUUCUCAAGUUUUCAAAAUAGUGUUUAACAAGAUCCAGGAAGAAAAUGUGGAGAAAUGUAUGACAGAAACAGAGAUACAGCUUGACACACUAAAGAACAGUUUGGAAAACAUCUGCUUAAAUUAAAUUUUACUAUUAAAUCCAGACAUCUACUCAUGUCAAUCUACUCAUCUUGAAAGGGGCUUGCUGCCAGGCUCUUUCCUCAAUGUUCUUGUAUUUUCCACCCAUUUCUUCAUGCUGGAAUCUUCUUUAAAAUUUAUUUUUUUGCUGCCAGGUUGCCAAACAGAUGUCCAGAAGGACAUAAGCAGCAGAAAAACUUCAUUUUUAACAGCAUUAAUAAAAUACUACACAGGUAGAAGGAAGGAAGAGAAAAAAGAGAAUAUAUAAAAUACUCAAAUUGGAGCAAGGGCAUGGGUGAGGAAGGAAAACACCACAGCUUUGCUUUUCCUUGUAGCAGAGCUGACAGUGCCAACUCAAUGCAUUGAGUGAGGGGGGCAAAUAGAGCCAUUCUGAAAAUCCCUUGAGAGCACAGGUCAAACCUGUAAGUUUACACAAAUAAUUAUCUAGCUCUAGAUUCCUUCUGAAUUCUAAAAGGGAAAAAUAAGUUUUCAACUACUAAAAAGAAAAAUAAUAAUGUCACAAUGUUUAAAAACAACACUCCAAUAAAAAAUAUGUUAAAGACCAUCUUGAAUUGCCAGACCUCCUGUAGUCAGAGCAAUCCAUAAGGCAUUGGAACUCCAUGUAUCCAACUGCAGCUUGCCCACCUAAUGGCUGUCAUUCCAAGUCACACCCUGUCCUUUGUUUGCAUUAAACACCCCAAAUCUCAAAUUAGAUGAGGACUGGAUGAACACCUAUUAACCUACACAUGCAAGGUUGUGCCAUGGAAGUGUCCUUGCACUGAUUUCUUCCCUUUAACAUUGGUGUUAAGGAAGUUGCUGUAGCCAGCUCCAAUAGUGCAAGGAGAAUAUACUUAUCACUAUCCUUAAAAAAGGGAGAGCCACCUUUAUGUAAGAAAAGAUUCAGAUGCUACUUUUUUUUUCCCUAUACCGGGGUAGAAGGAAGGAGAAUGAAUGGGAAGCACAAACAGAUCAGAAAGGUCAGCCAUGAUACUCCAGGUGUGUGUAAAACUCCUCCCCUCCAUCAGCCAGCACAGCCUCCCUUUCC